rnacentral:rRNA from 1 species
CACGUAGGGCGCAAGCGUUGUCCGGAAUUAUUGGGCGUAAAGAGCUCGUAGGCGGACUGUCACGUCUGCUGUGAAAAGCUGGGGCUUAACCCUGGCCUUGCAGUGGAUACGGGCAGACUAGAGGUAGGUAGGGGAGAAUGGAAUUCCCGGUGUAGCGGUGAAAUGCGCAGAUAUCGGGAGGAACACCGGUGGCGAAGGCGGUUCUCUGGGCCUUACCUGACGCUGAGGAGCGAAAGCGUGGGGAGCGAACAG